GGAGCAGUUGGCAGCUCAGUAGUAGAGUGCGUAUGACUUUGUGUGUAUGACGUCCUGGGUUCGAAUCCCAGCUGCUCCC